GCCAGGCUGUCUCCACCCGAGACUCAGUGAAAUUGAACUCGCUGUGAAGAUGCAGUGUACCCGCGGCAAGACGGAAAGACCCCGUGAACCUUUACUAUAGCUUGACACUGAACAUUGAGCCUUGAUG
rnacentral:rRNA from 1 species